rnacentral:rRNA from 1 species
AUUGAACGCUGGCGGCAUGCCUUACACAUGCAAGUCGAACGGCAGCGGGGGAGAAGCUUGCUUUUCUUGCCGGCGAGUGGCGAACGGGUGAGUAAUACAUCGGAACGUGCCCUGUAGUGGGGGAUAACUAGUCGAAAGAUUAGCUAAUACCGCAUACGACCUGAGGGUGAAAGUGGGGGACCGCAAGGCCUCAUGCUAUAGGAGCGGCCGAUGUCUGAUUAGCUAGUUGGUGGGGUAAAGGCCUACCAAGGCGACGAUCAGUAGCUGGUCUGAGAGGACGAUCAGCCACACUGGGACUGAGACACGGCCCAGACUCCUACGGGAGGCAGCAGUGGGGAAGUUUGGACAAUGGGCGAAAGCCUGAUCCAGCAAUGCCGCGAGUGUGAAGAAGGCCUUCGGGUUGUAAAGCACUUUUGUCCGGAAAGAAAUGGCUCUGGUUAAUACCUGGGGUCGAUGACGGUACCGGAAGAAUAAGGACCGGCUAACUACGUGCCAGCCGCCGCAGUAA